rnacentral:rRNA from 1 species
CGUGUAGGCGGCCAUGUAGGUCCGGUGUGAAAACUCGAGGCUUAACCUCGAGAUGUCAUCGGAAACCAUUUGGCUAGAGUCCGGAAGAGGAGAGUGGAAUUCCUGGUGUAGCGGUGAAAUGCGCAGAUAUCAGGAAGAACACCAAUGGCGAAAGCAGCUCUCUGGGACGGUACUGACGCUGAGAGCGAAAGCGUGGGGAGCGAACA